rnacentral:rRNA from 1 species
ACUCAAAUGAAUUGACGGGGGCCCGCACAAGCGGUGGAGUAUGUGGUUUAAUUCGACGCAACGCGAAGAACCUUACCCAGCCUUGACAUCCUCGGAACCUGAUGGAAACAUCGGGGUGCCUUCGCAAGAAGGAGCCGGGAGACAGGUGCUGCAUGGCUGUCGUCAGCUCGUGUCGUGAGAUGUUCGGUUAAGUCCGGCAACGAGCGCAACCCUUGCUUCCAGUUGCCAUCAUUCAGUUGGGAACUCUGGAGGAACUGCCGGCGCCAAGCCGGAGGAAGGUGGGGACGACGUCAAGUCAUCAUGGCCUUUAUGGCUGGGGCUACACACGUACUACAAUGGCGAAUACAAAGGGCCGCGAAGCCGCGAGGUGGAGCAAAUCCCAAAAAAAUCGCCUCAGUUCGGAUUGCAGUCUGCAACUCGACUGCAUGAAGUUGGAAUCGCUAGUAAUCGCGGAUCAGCACGCCGCGGUGAAUACGUUCCCGGGCCUUGUACACACCGCCCGU